UGCGUGACCAAACACUUAUUCUUAUAGGAGUUAUCUCCCCGCAUCCCCUUUUUCUUGUUAUCACUAUAUCUCUAAAACCGUAAAAGAUUUUAGCAAACUGUUUUCACCAAAUUGUUUGUCUACUCUUGAGAAUAAUUUGGUUUAUUUUGACUUGAGUGAUCGGAAGACAUCUUAUGGGAGUUAUUUCCCUUUGAAAAUUUAAGAUAGGCGAUUUGUUGGAUAAAUUCAUACGUUAUAAGUCGUAGAGGCCUACAGUCUUUUGAUAUGAUGUCCUUGGUUCAUUUGAAGGAAAUUGAGGUCAAGGUCAAAGGUCAAGGUCAUGUUUUAAUUUUGAAUUUUGCUUGUUAUCGUUAUUCCACAGAAACUGUGACAGUAAAUGAUAUGAUGUGUUUGCCAAAUAACUGUUUACAAUAAAGCGCAACUUCAACCUAUUUCAGUCAAAUUGUUUCGGUUAACCCUUAUAGGAGUUUUCUCCCCUUAUGUAUUUCAAAUCAGUAUUUCUCCACAACCAUACAAGUGAUUGACCUCUGGUCUUCCGUUCUGAGUUCACUGACAUAUGACCUUGAAAUUGAGAUCAAGGUCGAAGGUCAAGGUCAUGUUAUACAUUUUGAAUUUUGCUUGUUAUCGUUAUUCAGAAGAAACUGUUGCAAUUAAUGAUAUGGUUUGUUUGCCAAAAUACUGUUUACAAAAAGGCGCAACUUCAACUUAUUUCAGUCAAAGUGUUUUGGUUAACCCUUAUAGGAGUUUUCUCCCCUUAUGUAUUUGAAAUCAGUAUUUCUCCACAACAAUACAAACGAUUGACCUGGGGUCUUUUGAUUU
rnacentral:lncRNA from 1 species